rnacentral:rRNA from 1 species
AGUGAACGCUGGCGGCGUGCCUAAUACAUGCAAGUCGAACGGAGUGGCGCACGGGUGAGUAAUAUAUAGCUAAUCUGCCCCUUGCUGGAGGACAACAGUUAGAAAUGACUGCUAAUACUCCAUAGCAAGGGAUGAGACUAUAUCGUAUCAGCUAGUCGGUGGGGUAACGGCCUACCGAGGCGAUGACGCGUAACUGGUCUGAGAGGAUGAUCAGUCACAUUGGAACUGAGACACAGUCCAAACUCCUACGGGAGGCAGCAGAAGCGAAUAGUGCGCAAUCGGGGUAGCCAUGACGCCGCAACGCCGGGUGGAGGAUGACACUUUUCGCGGCGUAUACUCCUUUUGUUAGUGAAGCGGUACCUAACGAAUAAGCACCGGCUAACUCCGUGCCAGCAGCCGCGGUAAUAC